rnacentral:rRNA from 1 species
UUGAUUCUGGCUCAGGAUGAACGCUAGCGGCAGGCUUAACACAUGCAAGUCGAGGGGCAGCGGGGAGGAAGCUUGCUUUCUCCGCCGGCGACCGGCGCACGGGUGAGUAACACGUAUGCAACCUGCCCCUGUCAGGGGGACAACCCGCCGAAAGGCGGGCUAAACCCGCGUACAUGCCACCGGGGCAUCCCGGAGGCAGGAAAGGCUUCGGCCGGACAGGGAUGGGCAUGCGGCGCAUUAGGCAGUAGGCGGGGUAACGGCUCACCUAACCGACGAUGCGUAGGGGUUCUGAGAGGAAGGUCCCCCACACUGGUACUGAGACACGGACCAGACUCCUACGGGAGGCAGCAGUGAGGAAUAUUGGUCAAUGGUCGGGAGACUGAACCAGCCAAGCCGCGUGAGGGAUGAAGGUACAGAGUAUCGUAAACCUCUUUUGUCAGGGAACAAAGGCGGGGACGUGUCCCCGGAUGAGUGUACCUGAAGAAAAAGCAUCGGCUAACUCCGUGCCAGCAGCCGCGGUAAUACGGAGGAUGCGAGCGUUAUCCGGAUUUAUUGGGUUUAAAGGGUGCGCAGGCGGUCUGUUAAGUCAGCGGUCAAAGCCCGGGGCUCAACCCCGGCCCGCCGUUGAAACUGGCAGUCUCGAGUUGGAGAGAAGUAUGCGGAAUGCGCGGUGUAGCGGUGAAAUGCAUAGAUAUCGCGCAGAACUCCGAUUGCGAAGGCAGCAUGCCGGCUCCACACUGACGCUGAGGCACGAAAGCGUGGGUAUCGAACAGGAUUAGAUACCCUGGUAGUCCACGCAGUAAACGAUGAAUGCUGGCUGUCCGGGGGGGAUUGACCCCUGGGUGGCGAAGCGAAAGCGAUAAGCAUUCUACCUGGGGAGUACGCCGGCAACGGUGAAACUCAAAGGAAUUGACGGGGGCCCGCACAAGCGGAGGAACAUGUGGUUUAAUUCGAUGAUACGCGAGGAACCUUACCCGGGCUCAAACGGGGAGUGACUCAGGCAGAGACGCCUGUUUCCCACGGGACACUCCCCGAGGUGCUGCAUGGUUGUCGUCAGCUCGUGCCGUGAGGUGUCGGCUUAAGUGCCAUAACGAGCGCAACCCCCGCGUGCNAGUUGCUAACAGAUAACGCUGAGGACUCUGCACGGACUGCCGGCGCAAGCCGCGAGGAAGGCGGGGAUGACGUCAAAUCAGCACGGCCCUUACGUCCGGGGCGACACACGUGUUACAAUGGGUGGUACAGCGGGAAGCCAGGCGGCGACGCCGAGCGGAACCCGAAAUCCACUCUCAGUUCGGAUCGGAGUCUGCAACCCGACUCCGUGAAGCUGGAUUCGCUAGUAAUCGCGCAUCAGCCAUGGCGCGGUGAAUACGUUCCCGGGCCUUGUACACACCGCCCGUCAAGCCAUGGGAGCCGAGGGCGCUUGAAGUGCGUCGCCGCGAGGCGCGCCCUAGAGCGAAAUCGGUGACUGGGGCUAAGUCGUAACAAGGUAGCCGU